rnacentral:rRNA from 1 species
CGGCGAGUGAAGCGGCAACAACUCAAAUUUGAAAUCUGGNCUUUGACCCGAGUUGUAAUUUGGAGAAGGUGUUUCGAGAAUGACAAGGUUCAAGUCCCCUGGAACAGGGCGUCAAAGAGGGUGAGAAUCCCGUAUGUGGCCGAUUGUCUAUCUCAUGUGAAACCCUUUCGACGAGUCGAGUUGUUUGGGAAUGCAGCUCUAAAUGGGUGGUAAAUUUCAUCUAAAGCUAAAUACCUGCCAGAGACCGAUAGCGCACAAGUAGAGUGAUCGAAAGAUGAAAAGCACUUUGAAAAGAGAGUCAAACAGUACGUGAAAUUGUUGAAAGGGAAGCGUUUGCAAUCAGACUCGUUUGCAGAAGCUCAGCCUUCCUUCGGGUUGGUGUACUCUUCUGUUUAACGGGCCAGCAUCAGUUUCGACGGUUGGAUAAAGGUUUUGGGAAUGUAGCUCUCUUCGGAGAGUGUUAUAGCCCGAAGCGUAAUGCAGCCAGUUGAGAUUGAGGUCCGCGCUUUUGCUAGGAUGCUGGCGUAANGGUUGCUAGCGACCCGUCUUGAMACACGGACCAAGGAGUCGACCAAUGACGCAAGUGUUUGGGUGWAAAACCCCUACGCGUAAUGAAAGUGAACGUAGGUGGGAGCCUUCGGGCGCACCAUCGACCGAUCUUGAUGUCUUCGGACGGAUUUGAGUAUGAGCAUUUUUGGUCGGACCCGAAAGAUGGUGAACUAUGCGCGGAUAGGGUGAAGCCAGAGGAAACUCUGGUGGAGGCUCGCAGCGGUUCUGACGUGCAAAUCGAUCGUCAAAUCUACGCAUAGGGGCGAAAGACUAAUCGAACCGUCUAGUAGCUGUAAGACUUUUCCUUUCGCUACUUGAGAAUGAUUACUAAUGUGAAAUAGGGUUCCUGCCGAA